GAUGAAGAACGUAGCGAAAUGCGAUAAGUAAUGUGAAUUGCAGAAUUCAGUGAAUCAUCGAAUCUUUGAACGCACCUUGCACCCUUUGGCAUUCCGAAGGGUAUGCUCGUUUGAGUGUCAUUGUACUCUCACACUCUCCGAUCCUAUGGAUUCGGGGAGCGGUGGACUUGGGUGUUGCUGCCUUUCCUUGUGGCUCACCUCAAAUGUGUCAGUGCACCUCUUGGUUGGACAUAGUACGGCGUGAUAAGUGUCUUCGCCGGCACCUCGCAAGAGGGUGGCCGAUCGGGAGCUCUGUGCUUUCAAACCGUCUUCGGACAAUUUCUGACAACUUGACCUCAAAUCGAGUAGGACUACCCGCUGAACUUAAGCAUAUCAAUAAGCGGAUGA
rnacentral:misc_RNA from 1 species